GCUCAUCUUACAGGACCUUCAGUUGUGCUGGUUCCAAGCAGAGUGUCUCUGGAGAUAUCAUCAGCUACAACUACAGGUGCAUGCUUCCUUAAAUCAGUCUGAACAUUAACUUUUACAAGAACACUUUGCUAAGAGAUCUGGUGGAUUCUUCCUCAGCUUGGUUCCCAGAGGAGAUGUGUUUCUAGAAGCUUUCGUUCGUCUUGAGGAGCCUGCAGCGAGCGCUGGCCCAAAACAGAAGACUGUUGCUGUUAGAGAACGUGUCACCCACAGGAGGUCCUGCUUCAACAGGAGAGGAACCGCAGAGGGUUGCUCUGAAGACCAGAGACUGGUUUGUGAGAGAGCAGUGCAGGGCUAAUAUAUCAAGAUCUAGUCCCAUAAGCAGAGACAUGAGAACAGGCAGAAUCCACACCUACCUUUAAGCCCCUCAAAGGAGGAAGAGGAUGCAGCUCAGCAGCCUUCCUCUUGCAUCACUGGUUUCUAUUACAUGGACGUCUUUACAGGCAAAAAGGAAGUCUUUAGCUAAACCAGUUGUAUUUGAGCUGGGGCCUACAAAAUGCUUAUCACAAUCUUUAGGCACCAGUUUCCAUAGUCCAAGAAUCAAUGAAGGUGCCACAGACUUUGACCACUUCAAGUGAACAUGUGCACAACUUUCCCUUGCUGCUCCCUGCACACCUGACACCCUUGGGUGAAUUCACCUACAAUUAAAUUAGCAGAUAACACAUACAACCACGAUGCAAAGGGAUCUGGAAAGAUUAGGGCAGCCCUGCACCCAGCUGGGGGAGGAAGCCUAGCACUUUUGAUCUUAGCUCCAAGGAGAAUACACCCCAAAUCAUUCUAUAACCAAGCAAUGCAUCCACCAAGAGAGCACUAGAUUUUCAUCUCAUCCUGUCCAUGCCACUCCACCCUACCCUUUUAGCAAGCUGAGCACUAGAGUUGGCUCAGGGAACUUGUGGCAUCAGGUUUGUGCCCAGCUCCACCAAGAUUAUUUGAGCCCCACUGAUUUCAAUGGAUGUCCAUAACCGAGAGAUCUGGGCCUGGAUACCUAUUUAGCUGGUUAGGGUCUCUCAGCUCUUUCAGCGUGAACUGAUGUAACCUCUCCCUCCAAUUGUUAAUGCCUUAUGUUCCCUUCCUAAGCACAGUUCCAGCAUGUGGCACCUCACCCCUGCAAUUGAUAUAUGGAGUCUUACAUGGGGUCUAAGCACCACAGCUCCGUUUUCUGAACAAAAGCUCAAGAGUUCACCUGUUGGUCAACAGGGGAGUGGGCUGAAAGUGUGAGGAGCAGUUACCAGUAGGUUUCACCCAUCUCCUCAUCAGACCUAUCCAUCAUCAGCAUUUCACACCAAUAAGUGAUCUGUAGCAUCCAAAGUGAUUGGGGGGCAGGGAGGAGAGGAAUUAAAUAUUUCUGGUUUGCAUCCUUCAAAGGGCUGGUGAUGGGGAAGGGGUAGAGGGGUGAACUGCCCAUUCUCCCUUUUUGUUAUUGUGCCAACAGAUUAUGAGAACCCCCCCUCCCCCCCCCCAAAAAAAG